rnacentral:rRNA from 1 species
UUUAACUUGAGAGUUUGAUCCUGGCUCAGAACGAACGCUGGCGGCAUGCCUAACACAUGCAAGUCGAACGAAGGCCCAGAGCUUGCUCCGGUGUCCUUAGUGGCGGACGGGUG